AAAUUGAAGAGUUUGAUCAUGGCUCAGAUUGAACGCUGGCGGCAGGCCUAACACAUGCAAGUCGAACGGUAACAGGAAACAGCUUGCUGUUUCGCUGACGAGUGGCGGACGGGUGAGUAAUGUCUGGGAAACUGCCUGAUGGAGGGGGAUAACUACUGGAAACGGUAGCUAAUACCGCAUAAUGUCGCAAGACUAAA
rnacentral:rRNA from 3 species